AUUGAACGCUGGCGGCAGGCCUAACACAUGCAAGUCGAGCGAGUGGCGGACGGGUGAGUAAUGUCUGGGAAACUGCCUGAUGGAGGGGGAUAACUACUGGAAACGGUAGCUAAUACCGCAUACCAUCAGAUUUGCCCAGAUGGGAUUCGCUAGUAGGUGGGGUAAUGGCUCACCUAGGCGACGAUCCCUAGCUGGUCUGAGAGGAUGACCAGCCAUACUGGAACUGAGACACGGUCCAGACUCCGACGUGAGGCAGCAGUGGGGAAUAUUGCACAAUGGGCGCAAGCCUGAUGCAGCCAUGCCGCGUGUAUGAAGAAGGCCUUCGGGUUGUAAAGCACUUGCAGCGAGGAGGCGUUACUCGCAGAAGAAGCACCGGCUAACUCCGUGCCAGCAGCCGCGGUAAUUC
rnacentral:rRNA from 1 species